rnacentral:tRNA from 1 species
CAGGAAGUAGUUUAAAUAAAAUAUUAAUUUUGGGGAUUAAUGAUAAAGAAUUUUCUUUUUUCCUGA